ensembl:lncRNA
UUUAAUUUGUAGACCUAUUAUCUUCUGCUUUCUCUUUUCAGCACCACCAGAAAACACAGUUUUUCCUUUGUUAAAUUUUAAGUAAAAAGUGACUUGAAGGGAGUUACAAGUGAAAAAUUUUGCAAAUAAAACAUGAUCACUGCUAGAAAUCAAAACACUGACUGAGACAUAAACAAUAGAUACGAAUUCUUUUGGUUGCAUAGCCCACCGAUGUCAUCAUACAGCAGAUGGAGCGGUUGGCAUUAGAUCUGACAAACAAAAUAAAGUAAAAUAAAUUAAUGGAAGCUUAAUGGAACAGCUAUCUUAUAUCUGAGUCGUUGGAUAUCUGUAUUAUUCCCCUUAUAUUGAUUGUGACUUUGUGGUAAACAUGACUUUGGAGAUGCAAACCAAUUGAUUUUUGAACAGACAUCUGAUUCCAAUUUUGUUCGUAGGAUGGAGACCCAGUGUAUUUUGAAAAAUAUAACAAGCAUUUCUACCUGACACUUGUGAAGGUUUCAGUGUAUUUACUAUGAUUUUGUCAAGCUAAUAUCUUGAAAGAACCAAAAAUUCACACUAUUUUCAAUAUCAUAUGUUCGAUGAAUUAUCUGUUAGAGUUUUUGUAUGUUGUUUACAGGUCCCAAAUGGAGAAACCUCCACACCGACACCCAGCUGUGUGUCUGAGAGUCAGCACCCCCUUGAUGUUCCUGUCAAUCCCAGUGAUGGAAAUGUCCUUUCUGAUCCAAGGACCCAAAUGGAGAAACCUCUAUCACCAGAAACAAAUGAGAAAAGCACCCAAGUGAAGAAACCUCUCUCACCAGCAGCCAGCUGUGUAUCUAUGAAGAGUGAUCAGUCAAUGGACAAUCCUCCCAGGUUAAGAAAUGGGGUCGAUGCUUCUGCUCCAAGGAUCCAGGUGGAGAAACCUCCAUCACCAGCAGCCAGCUGUAUAUCUAUGAAGAGUGACCAGUCAAUGGACAAUCCUCCCAGGUUAAGUGAUGGGGUCGAUCCUUCUGCUCCGAGGAUCCAGGUGGAGAAACCUCUAUCACCAGCAGUCAGCUGUGUAUCUAUGAAGAGUGAUCGGUCAAUGGAUAAUCCUCCCAGGUUAAGUGAUGGGGUCGAUCCUUCUGCUCCAAGUAAACAAGCAGAGAAACCUGUCUCACCAGCACCCAGCUGCCCCUUAAUGGACCCUGAUCGCAUUAUUGAUUGGAAUAACUGGUGCAAUGAUGAACAUCUCCUCUCUGCUCUAAGGAAUCAAGAACUGUGCUCCCCAGCAACCAGCUACUUUUCUAUAAUGACUUCAAAGUCAAAUAAGUUUUCUCACAAUGGAAAUGAUGGAAAUAUCCUUUCUGUUCAAAGUAUCCAAACAAAUGGAUCCAACUCGCCCGCAUACAGCUGCAUUUCUGACACUGAUUUAGACAAUUUGUUUGAUGAUGACGAUAUCUCUUCUGUUCCAAGUAAACAAGCAGAGAGACCUGCCUCACCAGUGCCCAACUGCCCCUUAACGGACAGCAAUGACUCCAGUGAUUGGAAUAACUGGUGCAAUGAUGAACGUCUCCUCUCUGCUCUAAGCACCCAAGUGGAGAAACCUCUCUCACCAGCAGCCAGCUGUGUAUCUAUGAAGAGUGAUCAGUCAAUGGACAAUCCUCCCAGGUUAAGAAAUGGAGUCAAUCCUUCUGCUCCAAGCACCCAGGUGGAGAAACCUCUAUCACCAGCAGGCAGGUGUAUAUCUAUGAAGAGUCAUCAGUCAAUGGACUUUCUUCCCAAGUUUAGUGAACAAAUUGUCCCUUCUGCUCCAAGUGUGUGUGAGCAGCCUGAAAGGGAAGAAUAUGGCAGUCCACCUGAGCACAGAGAAGACUUGUCUGAAGAUGUGGUUUGUAGUAAAUGCAGUGGGAAGAGGAAGAGAGCGGUGAAGACUUGCCGGAAUUGUUCUAAGUCCUACUGUGAGACCCAUAUCAGAGAUCACAAUACUGUACCAGCAAUGCAGACACACACCGUGGUGGAUGUCACUGGAGGCCUGGAGAAGAAGGAGAAAACCUAA